GAUGAACGCUGGCGGCGUGCCUAAUACAUGCAAGUCGAGCGAACAGACGAGGAGCUUGCUCCUCUGACGUUAGCGGCGGACGGGUGAGUAACACGUGGAUAACCUACCUAUAAGACUGGGAUAACUUCGGGAAACCGGAGCUAAUACCGGAUAAUAUAUUGAACCGCAUGGUUCAAUAGUGAAAGACGGUUUUGCUGUCACUUAUAGAUGGAUCCGCGCCGCAUUAGCUAGUUGGUAAGGUAACGGCUUACCAAGGCAACGAUGCGUAGCCGACCUGAGAGGAUGAUCGGCCACACUGGAACUGAGACACGGUCCAGACUCCUACGGGAGGCAGCAGUAGGGAAUCUUCCGCAAUGGGCGAAAGCCUGACGGAGCAACGCCGCGUGAGUGAUGAAGGUCUUCGGAUCGUAAAACUCUGUUAUUAGGGAAGAACAAAUGUGUAAGUAACUAUGCACGUCUUGACGGUACCUGAUCAGAAAGCCACGGCUAACUACGUG
rnacentral:rRNA from 1 species